CAGGUGGUGACUGUAGCAAAAAGGAAAAACAGGCCAACAUGCAGGAUGGAUAAAAACCCUGAUUAUUACCCCAAUGAAUGCCAGUUGGCUGAAUUGAAUUCAAGCCCAGACUUCUGAGUCUUAAGUGUUGUCCACGUCCCUAAUCUUCUUUUGCCUUUAUAUUUGUGCAGACUCUUGCUAACCUAUCUCAUGGCCUCUAGACUUUCUUUUACCACACUAUGGAAACAAUGAUCUUUCAAAAAACCAAAAUCUGAUCAUGAUCAUGCCAUUCCUAUACUGAAAACAUACAAUGUUCUUCAAAAUAAAACUUAA
rnacentral:lncRNA from 1 species